AGAGUUUGAUCAUGGCUCAGGACUAACGCUGGCGGCGUGCCUAACACAUGCAAGUCAAGGAGAACGUUCCCUUCGGGGAGCUAUUAAACUGGCGGACGGGUGAGUAAUGCAUAGGUAACCUGCCCUGGAGAUUGGGAUAACUUCGCGAAAGCGAUGCUAAUACCGGAUAAUGCAGCGGACCCUAAGGGGUACUGUUGUUAAAGCGGGCUUCGGCUCGUACUUCAGGAUGGGCCUAUGUCCGAUUAGCUUGUUGGUGAGGUAAAAGCUUACCAAGGCUAUGAUCGGUAGCUGGUCUGAGAGGAUGAUCAGCCACACUGGGAUUGAGAUACGGCCCAGACUCCUACGGGAGGCAGCAGUGGGGAAUCUUGCGCAAUGGGGGAAACCCUGACGCAGCAACGCCGCGUGACCGAUGAAGCUUUUCGGAGUGUAAAGGUCUGUCGUGAGGGAAGAAUGGCUUCUAUUCAAAUAGUUUAGAGGCAUGACGGUACCUCACAAGAAAGCACCGGCUAACUUCGUGCCAGCAGCCGCGGUAAUACGAGGGGUGCUAGCGUUGUCCGGAAUCACUGGGCGUAAAGGGUACGUAGGCGUCCUGAUAAGCAUUGAUUGAAAUCCUUCGGCUUAACCGGAGAACUGGUCAGUGAACUGUCAGGAUAGAG
rnacentral:rRNA from 1 species